UUAUAUGUAAGUAACAAUGUGGCU
rnacentral:miRNA from 1 species